GAUGAACGCUGGCGGCGUGCCUAAUACAUGCAAGUCGAGCGAACGGACGAGAAGCUUGCUUCUCUGAUGUUAGCGGCGGACGGGUGAGUAACACGUGGAUAACCUACCUAUAAGACUGGGAUAACUUCGGGAAACCGGAGCUAAUACCGGAUAAUAUUUUGAACCGCAUGGUUCAAAAGUGAAAGACGGUCUUGCUGUCACUUAUAGAUGGAUCCGCGCUGCAUUAGCUAGUUGGUAAGGUAACGGCUUACCAAGGCAACGAUGCAUAGCCGACCUGAGAGGGUGAUCGGCCACACUGGAACUGAGACACGGUCCAGACUCCUACGGGAGGCAGCAGUAGGGAAUCUUCCGCAAUGGGCGGAAGCCUGACGGAGCAACGCCGCGUGAGUGAUGAAGGUCUUCGGAUCGUAAAACUCUGUUAUUAGGGAAGAACAUAUGUGUAAGUAACUGUGCACAUCUUGACGGUACCUAAUCAGAAAGCAACGGCUAACUACGUG
rnacentral:rRNA from 1 species